AGGCGGUUUGUCGCGUCUGCUGUGAAAGCCCGGGGCUCAACCCCGGGUCUGCAGUGGGUACGGGCAGACUAGAGUGCAGUAGGGGAGACUGGAAUUCCUGGUGUAGCGGUGAAAUGCGCAGAUAUCAGGAGGAACACCGAUGGCGAAGGCAGGUCUCUGGGCUGUUACUGACGCUGAGGAGCGAAAGCAUGGGGAGCGAACAGGAUUAGAUACCCUGGUAGUCCAUGCCGUAAACGUUGGGCACUAGGUGUGGGGGACAUUCCACGUUCUCCGCGCCGUAGCUAACGCAUUAAGUGCCCCGCCUGGGGAGUACGGCCGCAAGGCUAAAACUCAAAGGAAUUGACGGGGGCCCGCACAAGCGGCGGAGCAUGCGGAUUAAUUCGAUGCAACGCGAAGAACCUUACCAAGGCUUGACAUCCACCGGACCGCACUGGAGACAGUGCUUCCCUUCGGGGCUGGUGGACAGGUGGUGCAUGGUUGUCGUCAGCUCGUGUCGUGAGAUGUUGGGUUAAGUCCCGCAACGAGCGCAACCCUCGUUCUAUGUUGCCAGCACGUGAUGGUGGGGACUCAUAGGAGACUGCCGGGGUCAACUCGGAGGAAGGUGGGGAUGACGUCAAAUCAUCAUGCCCCUUAUGUCUUGGGCUUCACGCAUGCUACAAUGGCCGGUACAAAGGGUUGCGAUACUGUGAGGUGGAGCUAAUCCCAAAAAGCCGGUCUCAGUUCGGAUUGAGGUCUGCAACUAGACCUCAUGAAGUCGGAGUCGCUAGUAAUCGCAGAUCAGCAACGCUGCG
rnacentral:rRNA from 1 species